UACGUAGGGUGCAAGCGUUAAUCGGAAUUACUGGGCGUAAAGCGUGCGCAGGCGGUUAUGUAAGACAGGUGUGAAAUCCCCAGGCUUAACCUCGGAACUGCCUUUGAUACUGCAAAUCUCGAGUCCGGAAGAGGUGAGUGGAAUUCCUAGUGUAGAGGUGAAAUUCGUAGAUAUUAGGAAGAACACCAGUGGCGAAGGCGGCUCACUGGUCCGGUACUGACGCUGAGGUGCGAAAGCGUGGGGAGCAAACAGG
rnacentral:rRNA from 1 species